UACGAAGGGGGCUAGCGUUGUUCGGAAUCACUGGGCGUAAAGGGCGCGUAGGCGGCUUUAUAAGUCGGGGGUGAAAGCCUGUGGCUCAACCACAGAAUUGCCUUCGAUACUGUAGAGCUUGAGACCGGAAGAGGUAAGUGGAACUGCGAGUGUAGAGGUGAAAUUCGUAGAUAUUCGCAAGAACACCAGUGGCGAAGGCGGCUUACUGGUCCAUUACUGACGCUGAGGUGCGAAAGCGUGGGGAGCAAACAGG
rnacentral:rRNA from 1 species